UCCUCACAUAUUGGCAUUGCUGGG
rnacentral:misc_RNA from 1 species